UAGGCAUACCUGGUUCUGGAUUAACAUU
rnacentral:piRNA from 1 species